rnacentral:sRNA from 1 species
UUGGAUCGUUUCUCAUCGCCUUUGUCCGGCAUAGAAUCACGUUCCAUCAGUGCGCUUGGUGGAUACUGACCUGGUUUGGGUUCCAUACAAGCGGUUAAAGAAGAUGCGGCUAAGAGUACAGCUAAUAUGAGUGAGAGUUUCAUUUUUGUAGUCUCCUAUAAUUAUAGAAAAAAUAUAAAAUUAAAUAGAUCUUCUAAAAUAUAUAACACCACAUACUUUUUCAUUAUCGA